rnacentral:rRNA from 1 species
CCUACGGGGGGCAGCAGUGGGGAAUAUUGCACAAUGGGGGAAACCCUGAUGCAGCAACGCCGCGUGAGUGAGGAAGUAUUUCGGUAUGUAAAGCUCUAUCAGCAGGGAAUAGAAAAGAAGGUACCUGAAAAAGAAGCCCCGGCUAACUACGUGCCAGCAGCCGCGGUAAUACGUAGGGGGCAAGCGUUAUCCGGAUUUACUGGGUGUAAAGGGAGCGUAGACGGAAAGGCAAGUCAGAAGUGAAAGCCCAAGGCUCAACCAUGGGACUGCUUUUGAAACUGUCAAACUAGAGUACGGGAGAGGUA